GCAGCUGUGGCCAGUGAAGGUAACUGGGAUAAAAGGGGGUGGGCUUGGCCAGGCAGGGAGUGCCUGGAAGGGGCCCUGGCUGAGAAGCAGCAACAGGCAGAGGAAGGAGUCUGUGCUGUGAAGAACUGCCCCCAAGAAAUAUCACUGAGAAGCUUGUGCUCAGCUGAGGAUCAUCCGCUGCCUGCAUUCCAUUUGUGUCCUGCAGGAUCUCAGCUGGGGGCUCCUGCCUCGCUCUGUGCCUCUGUACACUUGUGCAGCCACUUCCCAGAGCAAGCAGAACCUGCUGUGGAACCAGGUGCCGCUGCAAAAUCACCCUAUCCUGAGAUGUGAGAACCAUCUGAAAACCAGUGGAAUUUGCAGAAAUGAAAAUGAAGUGUUUUCCACAUUUCAAGCCUUUGGAAGAUUGCUGAUGCAGCUUUCCAGCAAGGAAGAAAUGGAGAGACCAAAGGGCUCCUGGAACUGUGACCAUUCCUCUGGGCUCAGCUCCCUCUGGCAAUGAUCCCCCAGCAAUCUCAGGGCACGGCCUGGCCAGGAUCCUGCAGCAGCCGGCUCUGGGAGCACCUGGAACAUCCCUCUUCUCCCAGGCAUGGAUCCUGGCACCAUUGUAAGUGCUGAAAGUCACGGACUAUAAAGAGAAAAGG